UACAGAGGGUGCAAGCGUUAAUCGGAAUUACUGGGCGUAAAGCGUGCGUAGACGGUUAUGUAAGUCGGGUGUGAAAGCCCGGGCUCAACCUGGGAAUUGCAUUCGAGACUGUGUAGCUAGGGUACGGAAGAGGGAAGCGGAAUUUCAGGUGUAGCGGUGAAAUGCGUAGAUAUCUGAAGGAACACCAGUGGCGAAAGCGGCUUCCUGGUCCAGUACCGACGUUCAGGCACGAAAGCGUGGGGAGCAAACAGG
rnacentral:rRNA from 1 species